AGGUUGGGAACCACUGCACUUGUAUGCACUAAAAUGCACGCUUGGCUUGCCCGGCUAUGUAAACAAAGCACAGAGAAGUCCGGAUUAUAACACACACAGAGGGAGAGUGACUUCAUUCUCUGCUCAGGUAGACAUUAGUCCUCUAUAUCUUUACAUUGCAAAUAGUU